rnacentral:lncRNA from 1 species
UCCAAGGUCGGAUAUUAUUUUAUUUUUUCUUCUGGAAUCUUUAUUGUUUUGUUUUUACGUUUAGGGAUAUGAUUAUGAUGUAUCUCAUUACUUCUUGUUAUAGUGUGAAGUAGAAAUCAAAGUCCAUGUUUUUCCAUAUCGACCCAGCGCUACUUACGGAAAAGACAAUCCCUUCCCUCCCACAGGAGAACUGUCAUCAAUCAGGUAGUUGUAUAUGUAUUACUGUGUCUGGGCUCUCUGUUCUGGUUAUUGGAGGAUUUUAAAUGAGCCUCAGAUUUUCCUUCAGAAAUGCUCACUCUGGAUGCAUUGUGGACGAUGGAUUGGUGGCGGAGUGGAUCCAGGGGAAUGUGUAGAAGAAUAUUGGCAAACCAAGAGGAGAUGAUGGUGGCCUGGAUGAGGGUAGUGGUCGUGGAGGAAGAGGAUGGAGGUGAAAUCAACAGGGCUUGGUGAUGGAUUGGAAAUGAGUGGAGGAUGCUUUGAACUAUAGCCAACAGAAAGCCCUAUUCAAACUGGUUUAAAAAAAUAAAGACUUCACCAAAGGCUGAAGAAACAGACUUUGAGUUGAAGUUUCAGGAAUAACUCCCGGGACUAGGUCAUCAAGAAAACUGCUGUAAUCAGAAAGCCACCGGCUCCAGAAUGCAUCACAGCUACCACCAGGGAGCCGCCAUUAUCAGGAGGCUGCUACUAAUGUGCCACACCAUCACACCACGCCUGCCACAGUCCUUGGCAGCAGAAUAAAUGCGUGUUCAUGUCUUAUUCUUGAUGUCCACUAAGCUAGGAAAACCACAUCUUUACCAACUGUACGACAGAAAAACCAGAUGUCUUCACAACUGUGUUGUUAGCAGAAAUGGCAAAAACAACAGGAAGAUGGCCUUCACCUUCCUUCCAUUUUCUACAUCUUGUGUGACUGAAUCUGAUUGGCUGAGUCUUAAUUGUCAGAGUCCUGGCUGCCAGGGACCCUGGCAUAGCAUGCUAGAAGGAGGUGCUGACCCAAUGUAUCCAUCACAUCACAUCAAACCACACAAAACAGAGUCUCGCUGUGUCACCAGGCUGGAGUGCA